AUAUUGGGCAAUGGGCGCAAGCCUGACCCAGCAACGCCGCGUGAAGGAAGAAGGCNUUNNGGUUGNANACUUCUUUUAUGAGGNNNNNAAAAAAUGACGGUCCCUCAUGAAUACGCCACGGCUAACUACGCGCCAGCAGCCGCGGUAAUACGUCGGUGGCAAGCGUUAUCCGGAUUUACUGGGUGUAAAGGGCGUGUAUGCGGGACUGCAGGUCAGAUGUUAAAUUCCAGGGGUCAACCCUGGGCGUGCAUUUGAAACUGUGGUUCUUGAGUGUCGGAGAGGCAAUCGGAAUUCCGUGUGUAGCGGUGAAAUGCGUAGAUGUACGGAGGAACACCAGUGGCGAAGGCGGAUUGCUGGACGAUAACUGACGCUGAGGCGCGAAAGCGUGGGGAGCAAACAGG
rnacentral:rRNA from 1 species